UACAGAGGGGGCAAGCGUUGUUCGGAAUUACUGGGCGUAAAGAGCUCGUAGGUGGUUUGUCGCGUUGUCCGUGAAAACUCACAGCUCAACUGUGGGCGUGCGGGCGAUACGGGCAGACUGGAGUACUGCAGGGGAGACUGGAAUUCCUGGUGUAGCGGUGGAAUGCGCAGAUAUCAGGAGGAACACCGGUGGCGAAGGCGGGUCUCUGGGCAGUAACUGACGCUGAGGAGCGAAAGCGUGGGGAGCGAACAGG
rnacentral:rRNA from 1 species